CCUACGGGGGGCAGCAGUGAGGAAUAUUGGUCAAUGGACGAGAGUCUGAACCAGCCAAGUAGCGUGAAGGAUGACUGCCCUAUGGGUUGUAAACUUCUUUUAUAUGGGAAUAAAAUGUUCCACGUGUGGGAUUUUGUAUGUACCAUAUGAAUAAGGAUCGGCUAACUCCGUGCCAGCAGCCGCGGUAAUACGGAGGAUCCGAGCGUUAUCCGGAUUUAUUGGGUUUAAAGGGAGCGUAGGUGGAUUGUUAAGUCAGUUGUGAAAGUUUGCGGCUCAACCGUAAAAUUGCAGUUGAAACUGGCAGUCUUGAGUCCAGUAGAGGUGGGCGGAAUUCGUUGUGUAGCGGUGAAAUGCUUAGAUAUCACGAAGAACUCCGAUUGCGAAGGCAGUUCACUGGACUGCAACUGACGCUGAGGCUCGAAAGUGUGGGUAUCAAACAGGAUUAGAUACCCUAGUAGUC
rnacentral:rRNA from 1 species